GGCUGCGCCAUGCUCCUGCAUCUUAUGUGAUUCUGAUGAAGAAAGAAAAACUCCCACUGAAGCGACUGAGAGACGCACUAUUAUAAAGAUGGCGUUUAUUAAAGAGGAGACAUGAAGAUUGAAGAAGCAUUCAGAGUCAAACAUGAAGAUACUGAGGAACAAACAGGUUAGUUUUCCUUCUCAAAGCUGAACUCACUCAUUUGAUCCUU
rnacentral:lncRNA from 1 species